UAAGCUUGGUACCAAAAUCCAAAAAUUGGAUUCAUUGGACAGCUCUCGGGCAGCCUGCAGCAGGGCUUGUACCGGAACAAGACUGGCCUUGUACCGGUACAAGGGUUGAUGGUUGUACCGGUACAGCCAUCGGGCUUGUACCGGUACAGAGCCGCAGACCGCGCGACCCGAGCCUCGGGUUUGCAAUUUCGUCGGCCUUGUACCGGUACAAGAGCCCGUGUACCGGUACAAGGAGGCAGAUUUCGUGCAGUUUGAACUGCAGGGGUGUUUUUGCUUUUGUAGCCUCUCUAUUAGUACCCCACGCCCCUUAGGGCUUCUCCUAAGCUCAGAUCACAGAGAGGGCAAGGUAGGGCACCCCUCUUCUCCUUCCCCCUUGGAUUUGAUCCCAUUCUCUU
rnacentral:lncRNA from 1 species